rfam:Ciona savignyi cont_46258, whole genome shotgun sequence.
GUUGUUGCCACAGUAAUCCUGCUCAGUACGAGAGGAACCGCAGAUUCAGACAUUUGGUUCAUGUGCUUGGCUGAUAAGCCAAUGGUGCGAAGCUACCAUCUGAGGGAUUAUGACUGAACGCCUCUAAGUCAGAAUCCCGCCUGGAAAGCGACGAUGCAUUCGUGCCUCGGCCUCGAGAGGCGUAGCUAGACGGCCGUGUGGCCGUGGAAAGAGCCCGAUUCCGACCCGAGAGGCCGCGGCAAGAGGCGGCCUCGAAGUCGGUGGAUCCUCCUGCUCGAAAGGCGGGGUGCUAAACCAUUCGCAGACGACCUAGUUGAAGAUCGGGGUGUCGUGAUCACUAGAGCAGUACAUCUCACUGCGAUUUGUUGAGAGUAAGCCUCAAGAUCUGUCGGUUUGU